rnacentral:lncRNA from 1 species
AAUAAUAUUACUAUAUCUUACAGCCUCUGAAAAUUCACUUGAUGAAAUUGGAGCAAAUUCAAAAAUUCAUUCUUAAGAAAUUUGGUAGGACACAUGAAUUCAUGAAAAUGGGAAAAUCUUACUCUUGAACCCAGAAAUCAUGAUUGUGGGUCAUAUUCAGUACUUUCAGACAGCAGUGUGUUAGGUGUUCAAGAACUAAUGAUGUCAAGAUCUGUAAAUUGUAGGGACCAAUAAUUAGGAACUAAUAUGUCUAACCCUUAAUCAUUCAAAAAUGAAUUGGGGUUUCAUUCUCACCAAAUCCACUUUUCUAAGAUGUUCUGUAGCUUUGUUUUUUGUAGGAGUUCAAUGCAUCGAUUGAGUACUAUUGGGCUCCAUUCAUUGUGGAAUCCAUUUCAGAUCAUGCAACAAAUC